UGUAAAGGCUUAAUGGAGUACACACACAAGCUUUGCUAAGCUUAUAACUCUCUCUAAAAUCUCACUCUCUCACUGUCUCUCUCCCUACUCUAAAUAAACUAACGUAACCCUAUAUUUAUAAGCACUUCACCGCAUGAACUGCAAACUUGCAAGAGUUAAAGUUAAACUUUUCUUCUUGGCAGUCAAAAAACGUGGGCUGCGUUUCCUUCACGUGCAAGUACUAGCAAAGUUAAACUUUGCUUCUUGCUCCUUGAAGACUCCAGUAACAAUUAUACUAUUAUUUUAAUAUGUGCCCAUUCAUUCCUUCAUGGGAACACUCGCUGCCCACGUCCAGACUUCAUGCAUAAUGGACUUCUUGUUUUUAUAUUAGGUGUUGACUCCAACACUCUCCCUCAACACCUAAUACUCUUCUUCUAUAGCAUUUGAUAUUCAUCUUCUUCAGUUGCCGAGGCAACUGUGACUUCCAACUGAGCUUUGCGAAGCUCGGAUUUCAUCAAUGCCAUUUCACUUUGCGUAUCAGUCUCUUUUUCCUUCUCAUGGAACUUCUUUUCUAUAAUCUUCCAUUUGUUUUUGCCCCUGGGGAUCUUUUUCUCUGGGCAACAUUUCUUUAGCCUUUGCAAUUCCUUGAGCUCGUACCGGAGCUUCUCCUGCUCCCUUUCUUUGAGCUUGAGCUCCUUGUCCUUUUGCUUCAGCAUUUCAUCUUUCUCUUUCAACAUCUCCUGCAUCUCUUGUAGUUCCUUCUCACGACUGCUUGUUGAAGCUGCUUCUUGCUUCUUUGAGCUUGCCCAUGGCUUGCUCUUCUUUGGGGAUGUCUCAAUGGCUGUCACAUCAUCUGCCUUGAUGAUACCGGUGGCUACUGGCUCUUCUUGCUCCUUUGCUGCAACAAUCGCUUGGAGACUCCAUUCUUCUUUACUAUGGUUCUUCUUCUUGGUAAAAGUUGUAGCACCUUGUUUUACCUGCUUGAACCAACAGACUCUAGCAAAGUGGCCUACUUUGCCACAAAUGUAGCACCGCUUGCUAUGCCUUUUGUUGUCUUUGUCACAGUCUCGGUGUGCUCUCCCUGGUUGAGUGCUCCUUGCUAUUGGUCGCCUUUGCCAUUCACUAUGACUUUUCCACUGUUUGCCAUUCCUAAUCUCGACAUCAUUUCUCCAUUGGCUCUUGAAACCUCUUUUAUUUCUAGAGAGAGUAUGCACAUCAUCCACGGUACAUGCUAGCACCACAUCUUCGUCAUCAUUGACGAUAUGUGCAUGUUCCGUCACCUCUGCUUGACAUUCGGAUUUGUAAUGUCCGAAUUUAUUGCACUUGAAACACCUAACUUUUGAUUUGUCACGUGUUUUAUAUCUUCUGGUGAAAUUUGAAUUUCCACCCCUACCUCGGGCACCUCCACGACCUCGUCCAUCUUGAUAAUCUCCUUGAUUUGACUGAACAACCUGACUCUGCAGUACUUGCUCGGGAUACGAACCGAUGGACUUUUGAUUCAUUCUUUGCUCAUGCGAGCAUAAUGAACCCAUCAACCGCUCCAACGUCAUGGUUGAUAUAUCUUGGCCUUCUUCGAUCGCCGCAACCACGUAGUCAAACCUUUCAGUCAAAGACCUCAAGAUUUUUUCUACGACUUGUACAUCUUGGAGUUCUUCACCAUUAACCCUCAAUUGGUUAACAAUGGUUUGUACGCGAUCAAAGUAAGCUAAGAUAGAUUCAGAGUCAUUCAUGCGUAAAGACUCAAAAUCUCCUCGAAGUGUUUGGAGUCGCACCCGCCUAACACGAUCAUCGCCUUUGUAGGAUUUUUGCAAUAUAUCCCACGCUUCUUUCGCAGUCUCCGCACUCGAUAUUUUUUCAAAUAUCGUCUCCUCCACAGCUUGAAAGAUCGUAAAUAAUGCUUUCUGAUCUUUCUUCCGAGUUUCCACCAAUAAAUCUUUCUCCGUCUUUCUUAAAGCAUCGAAUGCUUCGGCAUCGGCCACUUUGAUGUAGCCGUUCUCCACCAGGUUCCACAAAUCUUGGGAUUUGAAAAGAACCUUCAUCUGGACGGACCAGUUGUUGUAAUUCUUUCCAUUCAACUUUGGGAGUAACAGUUGAACAGAGUUGGUGGAAGCCAUUGCUAGCUUUGAGUUCACGAUCCUUGAUUGAUUGCUCUAGGUUCUCGGUCUCCAGCCACUGGUUUUGAUACUCCGGUUCCUGACCUCCUAGGCUUUGACACUCCAAUCCUUGGCCUGCUUUGGAUUCACGAUCCCUAAUCGCUAGCUUUGACACGGUCCUUGGCCGACUAGCUCUGAUACCAAUUGUUGGAACCAAAAGGAUUUGGAGGGAGAGAGUGCACACACAAAGAGAGACUAUAUUACACAAUAUGCCUUUGUAAAGGCUUAAUGGAGUACACACACACAAGCUUUGCUAAGCUUAUAACUCUCUCUAAAAUCUCACUCUCUCACUGUCUCUCUCCCUACUCUAAAUAAACUAACGUAACCCUAUAUUUAUAAGCACUUCACCGCAUGAACUUCAAACUUGCAAGAGUUAAAGUUAAACUUUUCUUCUUGCUCCUUGAAGACUACAGUAACAAUUAUACUAUUAUUUUAAUAUGUGCCCAUUCAUUCCUUCAUGGGAACACUCGCUGCCCACGUCCAGACUUCAUGCAUAAUGGACUUCUUGUUUUUAUAUUAGGUGUUGACUCCAAC
rnacentral:lncRNA from 1 species